UACGUAGGGUGCGAGCGUUAAUCGGAAUUACUGGGCGUAAAGCGCGUGUAGGUGGCGAGGCAAGUCGGGUGUGAAAGCCCUGGGCUCAACCCAGGAAGUGCACUCGAUACUGCCUAGCUAGAGUCCCGGAGAGGUUGGUGGAACUCUCGGUGUAGAGGUGAAAUUCGUAGAUAUCGAGAAGAACACCGGUGGCGAAGGCGGCCAACUGGACGGUGACUGACACUGAGACGCGAAAGCGUGGGGAGCAAACAGG
rnacentral:rRNA from 1 species